UACGUAGGUGGCAAGCGUUAUCCGGAUUUAUUGGGCGUAAAGAGAACGCAGGCGGUCUUUUAAGUCUGAUGUGAAAGCCUUCGGCUUAACCGGAGUAGUGCAUUGGAAACUGGGAGACUUGAGUGCAGAAGAGGAGAGUGGAACUCCAUGUGUAGCGGUGAAAUGCGUAGAUAUAUGGAAGAACACCAGUGGCGAAAGCGGCUCUCUGGUCUGUAACUGACGCUGAGGUUCGAAAGCGUGGGUAGCAAACGGG
rnacentral:rRNA from 1 species